rnacentral:rRNA from 1 species
UACGUAGGGCGCAAGCGUUGUCCGGAAUUAUUGAGCGUAAAGAGCUCGUAGGCGGUUUGUCGCGUCUGCUGUGAAAACCUAAGGCUCAACCUUGGGCUUGCAGUGGGUACGGGCAGACUAGAGUGCGGUAGGGGUGACUGGAAUUCCUGGGUGAUACGCGGUGGAAUGCGCAGAUAUCAGGAGGAACACCGAUGGCGAAGGCA